AUUGAACGCUGGCGGCAUGCCUUACACAUGCAAGUCGAACGGUAACGGGCCUUCGGGUGCCGACGAGUGGCGAACGGGUGAGUAAUGUAUCGGAACGUACCUUUCAGUGGGGGAUAACGUAGCGAAAGUUACGCUAAUACCGCAUAUUCUGUGAGCAGGAAAGCAGGGGAUCGCAAGACCUUGCGCUGAUUGAGCGGCCGAUAUCAGAUUAGCUAGUUGGUGAGGUAAAGGCUCACCAAGGCUACGAUCUGUAGCGGGUCUGAGAGGAUGAUCCGCCACACUGGAACUGAGACACGGUCCAGACUCCUACGGGAGGCAGCAGUGGGGAAUUUUGGACAAUGGGGGCAACCCUGAUUCAGCCAUGCCGCGUGAGUGAAGAAGGCCUUCGGGUUGUAAAGCUCUUUCGGCCGGGAAGAAAUCGUAUCAGCUAAUACCUGGUGCGGAUGACGGUACCGGCAUAAGAAGCACCGGCUAACUACGUGCCAGCCGCCGCCGUAAUAC
rnacentral:rRNA from 1 species